UGGCCCGCCGAUGCAGUGGUGUGUCGCCGAUACAGUGGUGUCUCGCCGAUGCAGUGGUGUCUCGCCGAUGAAGUGGUGUCUCGCCGAUGGUGUGGUGGCCCGCCGAUGCGAAUGUCUUUGCUUGAUGUGUUCCUCAACACGUCAGGUGAUACGGCCGCGAAUCCGGCUAACUUUAAAUGUAUGUGUGUGUUGGAGGGUCGGGGAUUGAGUCAAAAAGACAGUAAUCUGUUGUUCGGCGAAUAUUUAUUAUCGGCUAUUUUCGGCCGAAAGUUUGCUGCUCCCCAAAUUUUCUUUUGCAAGGUUCUGUGUGAAUGUUUAUACAGACAGCAGCAGUACAGGCUGAAAAUGUAAUGCAGCUGAAAUGUGUUUUAUCCCCGGGAGACCGAAAUUUGAAUGUGCCGAGAAUUGCUAGACUUACAGUAGGUUGAUGAAUAUGGUUUCUUUACAGUGACAAGAACUUGUGUUACCAUGGUUACUGUUUCUGUAUUGCUGUACAGAGGCAGCAUUGUGCCUUGCCAUGAUCAACACAGAAUAUACAAGACUUAGUGCAGUUGAGGCUGAUGCGCCGGUUGACAAGAUUAGAGGGGCUAAGGACGACAGCAGCAGGCCGGAUGCUGAACAGACUGCACAUGUUGAAGCGGUUUGCGUAGCCAGCAUAUGAACAGGCAAGAUCGAGGAGCAAGUGAUCACCCAUACCUGGUCAUAUUGGUGUGAAGUCAGCCAUGACUAGUGGUUGUGUUCUGGGAGCAUGCUGUCAUCUGACCAGUCAAGAAACACUGCCUGAGAAUACGGUAGUGUUUGGCGAGUGCUAUCAGCGUCGAGUGCAAGGUGAUAAACCCACGGCAACGACAUUACAGCUGGACUUCCUAACAAAGAUAUUGCCAAACUACCAUCACCUGCAGACGUUACAGUCGGCAGCAGCAGCAGCAAUAUCUUGACCAAAGGUAUCCUUGCCCCAUCCACCUAACGUGGCCCUGUGUUUUUUUGCUGCAAACCCGCAUUCGCUGAACACGAGGCCUAAGAUGUAAUUGACUAGAUCAAAUCACUGGGUACGCUAUCAAAACCUAUCAAUUUCCUCUGUAUGUUCUGCUGUGGGACAUGUUAUCGUGUCUCAUUCUUUCACAUGCUGAUCAAAUAGCACAGAUAUUGUUUUAACAUUGUACUCAGCAGAGUAAUGCUGGUGUGUGUAUUUACACACAGCUAGAUCAUUGUCACAUUCAUGUGCAUUGGCUGACUCGAUGGUUUAUAUAAUUAUGCACCACAGGCUGAUAUGGGUAACCAUUCAUGACAUCUCUCCUGAGGUGCGUUGUACACACAUUUCUAACCUAUUGCUUGGAUAUGCUGGUUCUAGGCGGUAUCCCGUUACUAGGAAAUGCCCACGCAAGGCUAUAAUCUCUGUUUCUAGGAAAUGUUGGUUCUAGGCUAUAAUAAUUAUUAGGGCUCAAACGGUUAGUCCGAUUAUCCGGUUGCAGACCGGUUACGAAGAAUUUACGGUUAAUCGAUAAAGAUAACGGUUACGCAGUAACUUUUCAGUCAAAUUUUCGAGGAUCAGGUCGUUGCAAAGUAUGCACUUUCGCAGGCUGUCGCACGCGUACGCAAUUUCUGGGCUGUGAACUCGGUCAUAUCUGGUCUCUUGGUGUGAGAGUAUGUAUGAAUGAGCAUGCAAGAGAAUGUACAUGUGUGAGUUGUACUGGAUAGGGUACAUUUUUUGAAUGAGUAUAGUCAAAUAUACGGUUAAAAAAGAGUCCGCAGGAUUGCCGUGGCUUAUAGGUUAUAGCCGUUGAACCGACCGUUAGCUCAGCAGUUAACCGUUAGGGGUAAAACCGUGACCGUUUGAGCCCUAAUUAUUAUGCAGUUGGCAUCCCUCAGUCUGGCAUGCUGAAAUUUUCAAGUCGACGCUCCACGACUGCCUUCUAUAUUUGGAUUUCGUUGAUGUGGCAAACAAUUGCCGCUGCUUUUAACACUGUAGUUAACAUACACAUGAUUUGCUUCUUAUCUGGACAGUGUUUUUGUGUGCUAUUCUGACAUGGUUCUUGUGUCGUGUGAUCAAGCCAAGAACACUGCUUUUCUGCUGUU